AAGAAUAAAGCAAAAUAACAUCAAAUCGAAAGGAAAGCAGGCACAAAAAAGAAAAAAAGAAUUCCCAAAAAUCUUAAGGUGAAAGUGUAUUUUGAAGUGAAAGCAAAAAGAAAAGAAGCUAGCCAAAGGAAUUUGUGGCCGCAAUAUUUAAUAGAAAUUCUAAGUAAGAAAAGUGAAAGUUGAGCUGUAAAAAAAAAAAGAAAAUGAAGUAAAGAAAACGGUAAAGAAAAUCCGUAAGUGUUUUGAUCUCGUGACACAUUGAAAAAAAAAACGGGGAAUAAAAAGUUUUAUAUGUUCUGCCUUGCUGCUGCAUGUCAGUGCUCCCUCUCUUUGUAACGCAGCACACACACUUUGGGAUUUUUACUCGAGCAAGGUGCAGAAUGUGUGCAUUGAAUGUGGGUCAAUAGGGAGGUUGUUCGGCCUUCACAACAUGCGUGUGUGAUACACGUUUAUUAUAAAACGUUCAAACGUUCAAGAAGCAGUGGCAACAACAACAAAACUUGAGAAGGCGGCAAAAACAAAAUAUGUAACUUCUCAAACCUUGAUGCACCACCCAUACAUGAACAAAAGAGACGGCGACUUCGAUACAACAACAGCAGCAGCAAUAGCAGUGGCUGCGAUGAUAUCUUUUCCACAUCGCCGCUUCAUGUGAAAUUAUUACAGUUCGACUGUUGUUCUCAUUUCCUAAUUAAACACUCUUGGAGGAGUGCAAAUUGAAGGAAAUCUCCGGAGAUUUGUCUGGUAAGUUCUUGUUCUAUCAUUUUAGGACUGCAAAGUAAUCUCAUAUAACGACAUC
rnacentral:sRNA from 1 species